GGCACUGCUCACUGCUCACGGGGGCAGAGGGAUGCUCGUGGGAUUUGGAGUUUCUGUGUAACACCCACUGCUGGGUGCAAGCAGCAGCUUCCCCAUGGGGCUUCAAGGGGCUUCCCAUGGGGCUUCAAGGGCCACGGCACAGCCAGGGAGGGCCACAGACCCAUCAUGCUGAGAGGUGGGUGCACCCCCAGCCCAAGCACCCCCAUACCCCCCAUGCCACCACUCUCUCUGGGUACCACACCCAACUGGGGGUUUUGCCCCCUCUUCCCUGUGCACAGAGCUGGUGCCAGGAACCCCCUUCCCAGUGGCUGUUUGACCUCAGAAAAUGCCCAGGAGUUGGUGGUGAGUGUGGCCAACCUAUGAAACUGCGGCCACAGAAUUGGCUACUUCCACCCUCUCCCAGUUUUUGUGUCCUUGGGGGGUCCCUGCUCUCACUCCCUGUUCCCCCCAACCCCAGGGGGGCCAGUGUGUGGCUGGGCUGGAGUUUGGGGCAGCAGGAGGGAGGUGGUGGGAGACCCCCAUGGCUCCUUUAAGAAACCCACAACCGGCUCCAGAAACCAGCUCAAGGUCACAGCGGGAACCUGCGGACUUGGCAGCAGCCAGCAAGGGAGGAGGGAUGGAGGGAGGGAGGGAGGGAAGCAGCCCGAGAUCAAAAUGAAAUCACAGCCAGGGAGAGGGGCUGGCUGGCAGCACAGCGGGCGGGAGGGAAGGUGGGGGGCAGCUGAGCAGGACGUGCAGGGGAGUCCCACCCAUGGGUGUCCCCCCGCCAUUGCUGCAGCCCCAACCCCAGCACAGAGCUUUGAAGCUCCCCUGUGCCCCCCAGCUCAGAGCCCUGUGCCCUCUCCAGCCCCAGCCGAUGUGCCUGUGGUAAUUCCAGCCAAGGAAAGUCCCUUUGUGCCCCUGGAGGCACCCUGGGAAUGCUGGAGUCACUUCCCUCCCACGGGACUUCCCAGGCUCCACAGGAGCUUUCCAGCUCCAAGAGGAGCAGAGCAGGAGGAAGCUGCUGGCUGGGAGGGUUGUAUCCUGCAGCUCAUGGCAUGCUCCAGUCCCAAAUUUUUACCUUAUUUUAUUUUAAAGCAGCAGCUCCCUGAAGCCUGUGAUCACUGCUGAGUCUCUGCCUUCUUUUUGGGAGAGGAGGACUUUUGGAGCCACCCUCACCAGAGACCACAAUGGGCAAAACCAAGUCUUGAAAGGCUCAAGAUAGUUAAUACAAAUGAAUUAAAAACUCACAACAUUUAAUUUCUUUAAAACUUUUGCUAUUGAAAUGAACCUCACAAUUCUGGGUGCUCCAGCUUUGCCCUCUGGGCAAGUGAAGCUGAGUGAAGUGAAGGCACAAGGGAUGAAAUUAAAGACUGUUGGACGGGGGAUGCUCACAGCAGGAUUAGCACAUCCCUUCACAGCCCUGGGACCUGAUCCUGUCCCAGGGCACACAGGGAGACCCUGGCUGAACCCACUGGUGGGUCUGGGGGCACAGGCAGGGGCUCAGGCAGACAUCACCCAGGUUGAGGUUGAGCUGUGGCUCCAAAGCUGCUCAUUUUGGGGUUGCUUCAGCAAUGCCCAGUUUUAAUUUUCAUCAGCAGAAUUAAUCUGUGGAGUUCUUUUCCCUUCCUCCCCCUCCCCUUCCUCUCCUACCCGCUUUAUUCAAAGAAUUUGAUCAUUUCUCCCAGGAGCUCGGCACCAUUAACAUUCACUCCCAACACUGUGAGCUGUGCUGCAUCCCCAAGUGCUGCUCCUGCUGCCAGCCCUGCUACCCAGCCAGGCUCAGGGGAAACCUGCAUCAGCUCCUCCUUCCAACACCCUGGGCUGGGAGAGCCCCUCCACCCCCUAAAUCCACUCCUGGUAUCCCCAAAUCCACUCCUGGUACCCCCAAAUCCACUCCUGGUACCCCCAAAUCCACACCUGGCUGCCACAGGAGGAUGGCACCUGAACUCCAGCUCUGCUCUGCUGGAGCCUGGGCUUCUCCAGCAGAUUAAACCAAGGGCUCUGGGAAGAACACCCAAGGCAGAGGAAUGGCCAAGAGUUACAGCGUUUGGUGAUUUAAGACAAGAAGAUUGGUGACCUGGGGCUUUCCUGGAGUUGCAUAAAUUUGCAGACUUGUUUUUCAUUAAUAACGGUUAACUAACAAAUUACUGUUGUUAUUAUUACUGUUAUUAUCAUUAAUGUUAUUAAAUAUUGCAGGCCAGGCUGUCUUCCCUGCAGUUGGCACAGCUCCAUCCAUCCAGCACCGUGCCUUGGCUCCGAGUGCCUUGGCUCCAUAGGUGCUCCAGCAGCAGCACUAACCCACAUGUGCAGCCACUUGCUUUGCAUCCAAAGGGAUGCUGAUGGGCAGUACCAGUCCCAGAGAGGAAAAAGGGAUUUUUGCAGCAUCUGCUGCCUGUUGGAUGCUGUUGACAGCAGCAGUGGCAGCACCUGCCUGUGUGCAGGCCCUGAGCUCACCUGUGAUGAACCAUUUCCUUCCUGACCACGAGCCCUCCCGGGAUGUCCCGCCUGGGAAAUGAAAUCAGCUCUGAAUGGGAAGUGCAACCGAGCUGGCCCAGCCCAGGAAGAAGAAGAGCAGCAAAAGAAAAACAGAUUCAGAAGCUGGAAUGGGAAAAAAAAAAAAAAAGUUAAAUGCUGUGUGUGCUGCUGUCCCUGUCACUCCCCCCAUUGCCAUGGUUGGUGAGGCUGGCUUGUCCCACCAAGGUGGUGCAGAAAGGGGUGAUUUUUGCUUUAGCAGGAUUCCUGCUUCAGCACAGCCCUUUUCUUCCAGAUCUGGCUGUGGAGAAGGGAGCAGCUGGGUGCUGAGCCCGCCGCAGCCCAGCCCUGCUGCGGGCGAGGGCAAAGAGGCGUUAGCUGAGACGGGAGCCGAGCGCUUUAUUUUUAGUCUUGGUUUAACAAGUAUUAAUUAAUAAGAGUGCAAAUGCUAAUGCCGAGA